rnacentral:tRNA from 1 species
UUUCAAAUAGUUUAAUGAGAACAAAAUUUUGAAGAAGUUUAAGUAGUUUUAACUUUUGGAUA